rnacentral:rRNA from 1 species
AGAAUAUUAGUCAAUGCUCGUAAGAGUGAACUAGCUAACUGAAAUCACAAAUUUAAUUAAGUUGAAAAAUGUGAUAACGUAAGGGACAAAAAUGAUAUUACCUUACUAAAAGUGUUGUCCAAAACUGGUGCCAGAAGACUCGGUAAAGCCAGAGACGCAAACGUUAGUCGUCCUAAUCAGGCGUAAAGGGUAUGUAGGCUGCUUUAAAUUAUUAUAUUUAUGUAGAGCUUUUAUAUUUAUAAUAAUUAAAAUUUAAUUAUAUAUAUCUAUAAGUAAAUAUAAAAUCAAUUAAAGCUAGAAUCAAAUUGAGGAUAAACCAAAUAAUACUUAGUGUAGGGUUGAAAUCUAUAGAUACUAAGGGGAAUACUAAAAGUUAAAACUUUUUAUCUAACAUUGAUUGACGYUGAGAUACGAAGGUGAGAAUAGGAAAUAGGAUUAGAUACCCAGAUACCUCUCACUGUCAACGAUGAAUGGUGGUUAUUAACUUUAAAACAAAUUGGUAACGAUGUUAACACGAUAACCAUUCCGCCUUGCGAGUACGGUUGCAAAACUGMAACCAAAAAAAUU